rnacentral:rRNA from 1 species
AUUGAACGCUGGCGGCAUGCCUUACACAUGCAAGUCGAACGGCAGCACGGGAGCAAUCCUGGUGGCGAGUGGCGAACGGGUGAGUAAUAUAUCGGAACGUGCCCAGUCGUGGGGGAUAACGUAGCGAAAGCUACGCUAAUACCGCAUACGAUCUAUGGAUGAAAGCGGGGGAUCGCAAGACCUCGCGCGAUUGGAGCGGCCGAUAUCAGAUUAGGUAGUUGGUGAGGUAAAGGCUCACCAAGCCGACGAUCUGUAGCUGGUCUGAGAGGACGACCAGCCACACUGGGACUGAGACACGGCCCAGACUCCUACGGGAGGCAGCAGUGGGGAAUUUUGGACGAUGGGCGCAAGCCUGAUCCAGCAAUGCCGCGUGCAGGAUGAAGGCCUUCGGGUUGUAAACUGCUUUUGUACGGAACGAAACGGUGAGCUCUAAUACAGUUUGCUAAUGACGGUACCGUAAGAAUAAGCACCGGCUAACUACGUG